UGCAGUCAGGAGGAUUUGUCCUGCUGUUUCUCAUGAACAAGAGUUGUGCUAUCUAAGGGGAGAUUCAUCAAUGAACAGUUUCAGUUUUGAUGAAGGAGCGUUUUCCACCAAAAAAACAUUUUGUCAGAAUAUACCCAAUGAGCUCUACUCAACAGGAGACAGAUCAGGCCCAUUCUCCCCAAUGUGUUGCAUCUUCCCCCAAGUGAGGUGGAAGAGCAACCCCUCCACAGGAAGACAGUCCCAUGGAUCCCCAGCAAGUGAUGCCAGGGGGCUCCUGCCCCCACCACAAGGACCCAGUGGGAGGGAAGGACCCUAAUCUCCCAAGGAGAGUCCACACCGCCUACGGAGGUCCAUCACCAUCAUAAAAGAGACACACAUAUGACAAGUGUUUCAACGUUUACAAUGCAACAUGAGCAACCCUCAGACAAUAAGAAAAAAGGCUCCUCAGAGAAGUCGGCAACAACGAUGAAAUCUCACACGUGCAACAGAUGUUAAUAGAACAGAAGCAAAUAAAACUAAUAAAUAUAUCCACCAGGACUAUUACUG